UGAAAAGAACUGAGGUGAUCAGAGUGAAAUAGAACCUGAAACCAUUUGCUUACAAUCAUUCAGAGCCCUAUGUAGCAAUACAGGGUGAUGGACUGCCUUUUGCAUAAUGAGCCUGCGAGUUGUGGUGUCUGGCAAGGUUAAGCAAACGCGAAGCCGUAGCGAAAGCGAGUCUGAAUAGGGCGCUUAGUCAGAUGCUGCAGACCCGAAACGAAGUGAUCUAUCCAUGAGCAAGUUGAAGCUAGUGUAAGAACUAGUGGAGGACUGAACCCAUAGGCGUUGAAAAGCCCCGGGAUGACUUGUGGAUAGGGGUGAAAGGCCAAUCAAACUUCGUGAUAGCUGGUUCUCUCCGAAAUAUAUUUAGGUAUAGCGUUGUGUCGUAAUAUAAGGGGGUAGAGCACUGAAUGGGCUAGGGCAUACACCAAUGUACCAAACCCUAUCAAACUCCGAAUACCUUAUAUGUAAUCACAGCAGUCAGGCGGCGAGUGAUAAAAUCCGUCGUCAAGAGGGAAACAACCCAGACUACCAGCUAAGGUCCCUAAAUCUUACUUAAGUGGAAAACGAUGUGAAGUUACUUAAACAACCAGGAGGUUGGCUUAGAAGCAGCCAUCCUUUAAAGAAAGCGUAAUAGCUCACUGGUCUAGUGAUUUUGCGCGGAAAAUAUAACGGGGCUAAAGUAAGUACCGAAGCUGUAGACUUGCACACAACUUAGAUUAUUUAAGUUUAGAAUAUAAAAAACUAAGUUAUAUGUUUUAAGUUAUAUUUUUACUGAUUUUUAUAGGGUAAAGAUAGAAAUAAAACUUAGUAAAAUCAGUAAAAAUAUUCUUAGGCUAAAGUUAAGUAGUUUAAGUUGUGUGCAAGUGGUAGGAGAGCGUUCUAUUUGCGUCGAAGGUAUACCGGUAAGGAGUGCUGGAGCGAAUAGAAGUGAGCAUGCAGGCAUGAGUAGCGAUAAUUAAUGUGAGAAUCAUUAACGCCGUAAACCCAAGGUUUCCUACGCGAUGCUCGUCAUCGUAGGGUUAGUCGGGU
rnacentral:rRNA from 1 species